UACGAAGGGGGCUAGCGUUGUUCGGAAUUACUGGGCGUAAAGCGUGCGCAGGCGGCUAUCCAAGUCAGUGGUGAAAGCCCGGAGCUCAACUCCGGAAUUGCCAUUGAAACUGUUUAGCUUGAGGACGAGAGAGGUGAGUGGAAUUCCCAGUGUAGAGGUGAAAUUCGUAGAUAUUGGGAAGAACACCGGUGGCGAAGGCGGCUCACUGGCUCGUUUCUGACGCUCAGGCACGACAGCGUGGGGAUCAAACA
rnacentral:rRNA from 1 species